rnacentral:lncRNA from 1 species
GCAGAGCAGAGGAAUGACCCAUGGAAAUCUCACUGCCGCAUUGGGGUGCUCAAUCCAGGGAAACAUUCAAAGCUGCUCCUGUCUGUCAGCUAAAGAUGACAAAUAUUUAUCAUCUCUGGACACCCCUCCAGCCUCUGAAAUAUGUACUCCAGUCAUGAAGCAGAGAAUGUUAUAGAGAAGACAAAGAAUUAAAUGAACCUUCUGAGGACUUCAAGCCUGGGAAGCAGCCUCUCAGACAGCUCCGCCUGCUCCAAAAGAGGUAAAGGAGAAGCCAGAAUAUAUAGGAAUUUUACAACAAAAAAACAGGUGCUAAAUCCCAGCCAUACAUCAGUGCUCUAUCAUUACAAGUCAAGGUCUAUUUCUGGGAGUGACUGUGUGUCUGACCAAAGAGAUGAGUUAUCGAGGAAGAAGGCCUCCCUCGUCUAGGACACCAUUUUCUGGAAAAAGAUGAACAUCUGUAAGGACAGCCAGCUAGGCUGUUACAAGGCCUCCUCCUUCCAUCACCCCACAGGGAGUAAAUCUGGGCAGGGAAGGACCCAGCCAGAUGUGGAUGUCUGCAUGCUGCUGGGGCAACAUCCGCAUUUUUACAGAAAAAGACAGAUACCAUAUGAUCUCACUUGCACAUGGAAUCUAAAAACAAACAAAACAACUACCUCACAGAUACAGAAAACAGAUUGGUGGCUGCCAGAGCUGCUGCUUGCACAGUUGGAAUAACGUGCCACUAUGAGGUGGCUACUUCGUGAACCGGAGGUUCUCAUUCAGAGUAUAAAUUCAGAGGAAAGACAUCUUCAGGUAAAGAAGGAACAGAAAAUACCAAGUGGUUCUCCACAGGGACCUGUAUGUUUUUCACUACCUAUGGGAGGGAAGUGAAAACCUGUGUUUAGGGAUCCAUUGAAGAAUUUGGUGGUAUUCAUCCUAGUUCAGAGCAACCCCAUGCUGAGCAGAUUGCAUUCCAUCAUGAAAUAAUUGGUAUAGAGGACCUUGAAUAGGCAUGCUCUAUACUUCCAGCAUUUAGUAAAACUCAAAUGGCAGCUGUAAUGACAUUAGUUUAUCACUUCUCAUUCAUCAAAGACUAAAAGUAUUGGAGAAAUUCAUUGGAUAAUAUAACAUCCAUUACACCUUGACUCUGUAUCAGUGAUCAAAGGUGUAAAUACCAUAAGCACGACACUGAUGUUUAUACUCCAAAGUUUGACACCUCACUUUGGGCACAGGAAUAUUAAAAUGUUCUUAGCUAUAAUUCCUCUCCAAAUGUAAAAUUAAUCAUCAAGGCUUUCAAUAGCUUUACUUACUAUGCUGCACCUUAUUUUUUACAACAACCUAAGGAAAUACUCUAGCUACUGAGGCAGUGUUAUUGUAUGCCAAAAGGUGGAGGAGACUGCUAAUAAAGCAAAACCAACCCAAACCAAACCACCACCAACAACAAAACCCAGAAAACCAACUACUGAUAAUGCAGAGGUAAGUUUUUAUUAGGGGUUCUAAAGUGACAUAUGCCAGCUAAAUUAAACUUUUUAAGAUGGUGGAUUAGCCACAGAGUGAAAUCUUUCACACAGACCUCAAAGAAAUCAUAGAAAAGAGUUUUUUAAAAAAUGAUUAAAUACAUAUUUAUGCUUGGAAACCAAAGAAGAGAAUCUCUACAGAUUAGAAAGACAUACCUCAAAAUAGGAAACAAAUAGGAAGCGACAGUGGUAAAAAGAGGCCAAUGCUUUCAGAAAACUAUACUGGUCUAAAGGCAUAUAUAUACACAUAUAUAGGUACAUGUGUAUGUGUGCACACACAUUUGCAGGAAAGAUUUUAUGAAACAUACCAUCUAGUUGUUUAUACUACAAGGGUCAUUUAAAACCUGAACUUUAGGUUCUCCAAAUUUAGGUUAAUAUUGUUGAGAUUUAGGUGAUGUCCUAAGGAGAUCAUUUAGAAUUCAUGAUGGACAAAAAAGUCAUUCUUAGAAAAUGAAAAAACAAGAGCAAGACACCAAGCAUCUGAAAAUCUAACAUGUGAAGGAAGGAAAACACAAUGCACUUAUGGAAGAGUUUAAACUUGGAAAGAAGAGAAAUAAUGCAGCAAUUUGAAAAUGUUUUUAAUAUGUGUAUCUAGUACCCAGGAAGAUAGCAAAUAAAGAUAUAAAUAGUUAUUUGCUUUUUUUAUAAAAAAAUAUAGAAAAUAUGCUAUUGACCAAUGCCAGGCACAUAUUAAACACUUUAUGAAAUUCAGCCAUUAUUUUCUUUCACUAUAAUUUUGGCUUCAUGAAAGCAGAGAAUUUUGUUUGUUUUAUUUACUGCUAUGUUCUCCAGCAUGUAGAAGAAUUUCUUACACAUGGAACAAAAAUUGAACAACUAAUUUUUAGAUAAAAAGGCUCAGAGGAAAUGAACCCAACUAGCAUCCAUGAAGAUGUGGGUUCGAUCCCUGGCCCUCACUCAGUGGGUUAAGGAUUCGGAGUUGCCAUGAGCUGCAGUGUAGGUCACAGACGUGGCUCAGAUCUGGCAUUGCUGUAGCUGUGAUGUAGGCUGGCAGCUAUAACUUGGAUUAGACCCCUAGCCUGGGAACUUCCAUAUGCUACAGGUGUGGCCCUAAGCACCAAAAGAAAAAAAAA